GAUGAACGCUGGCGGCGUGCCUAAUACAUGCAAGUAGAACGCUGAAGGGGGAGCUUUGUUCCCUGGAUGAGUUGCGAACGGGUGAGUAACGCGUAUGGAACCUGCCUGGCAGCGGGGGAGAACUAUUGGAAACGACAGCGAAAAUCGCAUAAGAGAAGUUGUUGCACGAUAUUUGUUUGAAAGGUACAAUUGUACCACUACCAGUUGUAGCAGCGUUGUAUUAUCUGGUUGGUGGGGUAACGGCUCACCAAGGCGACGACACGUAGCCGACCUGAGGGGGUGAUUGGGCACACUGGGACCGAGACACGGCCCAGACUCCUACGGGAGGCAGCAGUAGGGAAACUCCGGCAAUGGACGGAAGUCUGACCGAGGAACGCCGCGGGAGUGGAGAAGGGUUUCGGAUCGUAAAGCUCUGUUGUAAGAGAAGAACGAGUGUGGGAGUGGAAAGUUCACACUGUGACGGUAUCUUACCAGAAAGGCACGGCUAACUACGUG
rnacentral:rRNA from 1 species